rnacentral:misc_RNA from 1 species
UUUCCGUAGGUGAACCUGCGGAAGGAUCAUUACCGAGUGAGGGCCCUCUGGGUCCAACCUCCCACCCGUGUUUAUCGUACCUUGUUGCUUCGGCGGGCCCGCCGCAGGGCCGCCGGGGGGCAUCUGCCCUCUGGCCCGCGCCCGCCGAAGACACCAUUGAACGCUGUCUGAAGAUUGCAGUCUGAGCAAUUAGUUAAAUAACUUAAAACUUUCAACAACGGAUCUCUUGGUUCCG